GUGGAUUCUCAAGCGUGAGGUAAGAGCAUUUGGUGGAUGCCUUGGCAUGUGCAGGCGAUGAAGGACGUGGCACGCUGCGAUAAGCGUCGGGGAGUUGUGAGCAAACUUUGAUCCGGCGAUUUCCGAAUGGGGAAACCCACCCUCACCAUUUCCUUUCGAUCGACCUUCGGGUGGAUCGGAAAGAGGUGGAUAGGGUAUUACCAGACUGAAUAUAUAGGUUUGGUGAAGCGAACCCGGGGAACUGAAACAUCUCAGUACCCGGAGGAAAAGACAUCAACAGAGAUUCCCGUAGUAGUGGCGAGCGAACCGGGACCAGGCCAGUGCCUUCAUUUCAACUAGCAAAACACUUUGGAAAGAGUGGCCAUAGUGGGUGACAGCCCCGUAUGCGAAAGUGAUGAUGAAGGACUCGAGUAGGGCGGGACACGUGAAAUCCUGUCUGAACAUGGGGGGACCACCCUCCAAGCCUAAAUACUCGCACAUGACCGAUAGCGAACACAGUACCGUGAGGGAAAGGUGAAAAGCACCCCGAUUAGGGGAGUGAAACAGUACCUGAAACCGGAUGCUUACAAGCAGUUGGAGCCCCAUAGGGGGUGACAGCGUACCUCUUGCAUAAUGGGUCAGUGACUUAAUUUAUCGAGCAAGCUUAAGCCGUUAGGUGUAGGCGUAGCGAAAGCGAGUCUGAAUAGGGCGACUGAGUUCGAUGAA
rnacentral:rRNA from 1 species